rnacentral:rRNA from 1 species
CCUACGGGCGGCAGCAGUGAGGAAUAUUGGUCAUUGGCCGGAAGGCUGAACCAGCCAAGCCGCGUGAGGGAGGAAGGCGCAGAGCGUCGCAGACCUCUUUUGCCGGGGGACAAAAGGCCGGACGGGUCCGGUUCUGAGGGUACCCGGAGAAAAAGCAUCGGCUAACUCCGUGCCAGCAGCCGCGGUAAUACGGAGGAUGCGAGCGUUAUCCGGAUUCAUUGGGUUUAAAGGGUGCGCGGGCGGGCCUUUAAGCCGGCGGGGAACUCGCGGGGCUCAACCCAGCCGAGCCGUCGGAACUGGGGGCCUUGAGUGCGGCGGAGGCAUGCGGAAUGCGCGGUGUAGCGGUGAAAUGCAUAGAUAUCGCGCAGAACUCCGAUUGCGAAGGCAGCGUACCGGCGCCGGACUGACGCUGAGGCACGAAAGCGUGGGUAUCGAACAGGAUUAGAUACCCGUGUAGUC